rnacentral:tRNA from 1 species
GGCUCUGGUGGCGCACGGCCAGGGCGCCGGCGACUUCGCCUCGCUGCGCGCCGAGUUCGCGCUGCCGGAGUCCUUCUCUCCCGGCGCCC